GUAGCCACAAAGUGGUCCACCUGCCCCUGGCCCACCUGCCUUCCAUCUGUCCCUGGUUUGGGCUCAGCCCCAUGCAUUGCUCUCUUGUCAGGGACCCUGAGAGACCUGUCUCCUGUUCCAGUCAUGAAUGGGCAAGGGAGCCUGGGUGAUGAGAGCAGGAAGUCAGAUACUGGUUUACCUGGGCCCAUGGGGGGGGAGGGGGGCUUAGGCACUGGGGUGGGCCACACAGAGGUGGGCUUAGGCACUGAGGCCACACAGAGCCGGCUGUGAUUGGCCUUCCUUCCUCCCCUCUUGCUCACCUCUUGGGAGUGGGGGAUUGGCCUUUGUUUAUUUGAAUCUCUCUUUUCUGUGACUUCUACCCACCACCUAUCUUGGUAGACCCUGGGUCAUUGUCUAUUCUUUCUUCUCUGCUCCCUUCUCUCUUGGUCCCUGUCUCUCUCUUUGGCCUUUGUGUGCUUCCCUCUUCCUGGGACCCCAUCUUGGUGUCUGCUUGCCUUUCUGGAUGACUCUCUUGUGUCUUGCUUCACUGGUGGCUCCCAGGUAUUCCUCCUGUGACACCGCGAGCUGCAGUGUAGGAUCAACUGUCCUGAUGUGCAGGUGGUGGGCGUGUGGGCGUAGUGAAUGCUGUAUGGAGACCCUCGAGGAACCACACCAAGCCCAUCUCUCAGCUCUUUCGUGGUUCGGGAACCGGGACCACCAAAUCUGGGGGCGCUAGAGGACUGACGAGUCCCAGGGACGCGCAGCAGCGCUGGACGUCUUCAUGCUGUGCAACGCGCUGGAUCAACUAGCCAAGGCCAGAGUGGGCAGCAGCGAGUGGCGGCUGGAGCACCUGCCUGUGCUGGGCUACUCGGAGCGCCCACUGCUGGUGCAGGAGCUGUGGCGUGCUGCUUGGAGCAGGAAACCUUCGGGGGCUGCGGUCAGUGAUGGUACCUGUGCCCUUUUGUGGCAGCCAGAGAAGAACCGUUCCAGAGUUGCUCCUGGUGGGGAGGCGCUGACCAGUCCUGGUUCAGCUGGUUGCAGGGGCGAGGAGAGCUGGGAAAACUUGCCCUUCUGGCGCAUCAUGUCAGAGCUGAGCCUGCAUGGGCCACGGAAUGCAGGCAGGAGGCACUGAGCAUGGCCUCAGGGGCAGCUGAUUCCCCAGUAGAUCCUGCAGACCCCGGAUGUUGAUCAGUUGACUCAUCCAGGCCCCCAGCAAUCACCCCUGCUAUGGUGGGAUUUGAACACAGACAGGGCACCGAGACAUUCAACAGGAAGGAAUUUAUUUAUUUGUGCCUGCAGAGACCCAGAGGAUUGUUAUCCAAAGGCUGAGUAUGCAGGGAUGCUGGCCUUAUAUACCUCUGGCAAGCUCUUUGUCUCCCAUAUAAGGUAAUACACAUUCUGAUUGGGUAUUUUUAUGCUAUAGAGUUGCAACAAAGUUGGAACAGCAUCACACAUAACUGAGUUACAACAGAGUCACCCCAGAUUUACAGCAGAGCUGGCAUGCACAGUAAAUGUGACAUGUUGCCUUUUCUUGGUUCUGGGAGGGCCCUUACCACAUUCUCCCCUUUGAUGCUCAGAUCCCUUUAGGGUCAAAGGGCAUCAUCCUGACUUAAAGGCUUAUAUCUYUGUGACAUCAUAACACGUGCUGCCCAACCAUACCUCCAUGAGACUGGAGAUAGAGUUCAUAACCAGGGGUAAUAUGGCAGGGUAGGAGUCGGCAGGCUCCCAGCAUUAAACCCACAUCACUUGUAAGAGUUUUGAAUCCCCCCAAAACUGAAAACCAUCCUUCAAAUAAUUUCUUGUGAUUCCAACCUUUUCAAGUCUG
rnacentral:lncRNA from 1 species